AGAGAGAGAGAGAGAGAGCACGUGGGAGGCGAUGAGACAGGCAUGCGCAUCCCUCCUGGAUGCUUAUAUAGCUAGACGUAUCUCUGCGCUCUCCUUCACUCACACCUAACCUGUUACAGCAUCGUCAGCCUCUCUACGAGCAAAACAUGGGUGCAAUGAGCGUAGCAGCCGCCCUUGCAGUGCUUGUUGCCAUCAAUAUGUCUACGGGCGUAAGCACCACUCCCAUAGACUUCAGAGGUCACCUAAGACCCAUAAAUCAAGUUGAUCUGUGUAUCCUCACAUGCGACGAUUGCUACAAGGGCGACUUGCUGAUGAUGUGCGCAAACGCAUGCAUCCGAGAAGGGGGACGUAUGGCCAUGAAGUGGGGUUCCACUUGCCAUUACUUCACCAACGGCAAGAAAUAAAAAGGACGGUUUGGCGUUCUCUUGGGGGACCGACUCACUGAGUUCACUCGACUUGGCUUCCUCUGCCACCCUCCCUGACCCGUCCCAGAUUCUUCUUGGAAAAAUUAUGAUUAUAUUACAUUGUUUCUUCCUCUGAUUUACAUGUGUGUUAGCACAGGCUAUAAUUUUCAAAUUAUUACCUAUUCUGUAUAUUAAGUAGUGGUCAAUGAUAGAACGAAAGACUGCCGAAAAUAGAUCGUGUUUUGGUCUGAGCAAUGCUGCUGCAGUCACUCAUCGUCAAUAAAGUUCCUCGAGCAGAGCAAAGUAGAUACAGUAACAGGAGGUCACUUACGAUAAAACCAUUAGCACGCACUGAAAUGACCCUUCAGCUUCAUUGUUUGCUUAUAACUUUCAUUCUUUCACAGAUGAAGCAUGUUAGGAGACUGAGAAAAACGUAGUAGCUUCCUUUUCUUCUCUUAAUUUUUCAAAUACUGCACGUAUAUACAAAAUUCUUCGCACUUUUAUUGAAUGUUGUUCAUUGAAGGAGUAGUUGUCUAGAUAUAUAUUUAUUUAUCGUGUUUACGCUCUUCGUCACUUCCUAUUUCUCCCUUACUUAUAAAGUACACAUGUGGGUUUUUCUGACGCAGUAUAUACCCUUAAUGAAUUGAUCUGAAACAAUUCGUUUCACCCACGCAUUCCAUCCAUAUUUAUUUAUUUCCUUUUAUUUCAGAGGAUAAAAAAAAAUGGCUUACCCUUCCAUAAUCACGUACAAAUUUUCCAGACUUUUUUUCUGCUGUUCUGUUCCUAUUCAUUAUUAUUAUUCUUUAAUUUCCCCUUCAAGUGUACUGUUAUAAUUUACGAAAAUUGCACUCGUUACCUGCUUUGAUGAAACGCUGGUUAUGCUGAAGGUAUUAUGCUAUGGAAGAAUGUCUGAAGUUUGCCAUUUCCAUUUUACCCCAAUAUACACUGCAAGUCAGAAACUCACUUCACAAGCUGUCUGUAAAAGUGUACACAACACUUUUGUUACAUUAAAGACUAUUGGAAAGAAA